rnacentral:rRNA from 1 species
UAUCGGGCACUCUACAGAACCCCGUACGUUUUCACGGGAAGUGAGAGGAUAGAACUCCACUUUGAUACUAGAGUCAUGAUCAGAUUCUAACGAAGGGCAGCAGAUAAGCAUAUUUGUCAAUAGGAGACAAUCUGAAUCAGCUAUGUCGCAGUGCAGAAAGACAGCCUCGGAUUGUAACUUGAUUUAUUCGGAAUAACCAAUUUAACGGUUUAGUAGCUGAAUGUUACCGAAGAAAUAAGGAUCGGCUACUUCGUGCAAGCAGCCGCCGUAUACGGAGAAUCCAAGCGUUAUCGGAAUUUAUUCGGUUUGAAGAGUGCGUAGGCGGCUUUUUAAGUCAGGGGUGAAAGACCGGUGGCUCAACAAUCGCAGUGCCCUUGAUACUGAAGAGCUGAAUGAACUAGAGGUAGGCGGAAUGUGACAAGUAGCGUGAAAUGCAUAGAUAUGUCACAGAACACCGAUUGCGAAGGCAGCUACUAUGGUUAUAUUGACGCUGAGGCACGAAAGCGUGGGGAUCAAACAGGAUUAGAUAUCGUGGUAGUCCACGCCCUAAACGAUGAAUACUCGCUGUUAGCGAUACACAGUUAGCGGCUAAGCGAAAGCGUUAAGUAUUCCACCUGGGGAGUACGGUCGCAAGAUUGAAACUCAAAGGAAUUGACGGGGGCCCGCACAAGCGGAGGAGCAUGUGGUUUAAUUCGAUGAUACGCGAGGAACCUUACCUACCCUUGACAUGGAAGGAAUCCUCGAGAGAUUGAGGAGUGCCCGAAAGGGAACCUUCACACAGGUGCUGCAUGGCUGUCGUCAGCUCGUGUCGUGAGAUGUUGGGUUAAGUCCCGCAACGAGCGCAACCCUUGUCAUUAGUUGCUACAUUUAGUUGAGCACUCUAAUGAGACUGCCGGUGACAAACCGGAGGAAGGUGGGGAUGACGUCAAGUCCUCAUGGCCCUUAUGGGUAGGGCUUCACACGUCAUACAAUGGUACAUACAGAGGGCCGCCAACCCGCGAGGGGGAGCUAAUCCCAGAAAGUGUAUCGUAGUCCGGAUUGUAGUCUGCAACUCGACUACAUGAAGUUGGAAUCGCUAGUAAUCGCGGAUCAGCAUGUCGCGGUGAAUACGUUCCCGGGUCUUGUACACACCGCCCGUCACACCAUGGGAGCGGGUUUUACCAGAAGUAGGUAGCUUAACCGUAAGGAGGGCGCUACCACGGUAUGAUCGACGAU